ACUAAUGUAUUAUAUAUUUAGUAUUGUAUUGAUUUCGCUGUUUUUGUCAAGAAACAGACUUAGUUUCGUGAUAAAUGACGUUCUUAUUUUCUGCGUAAUCUAUUUAGCUCUCUCCUGACCUAUUUAUUGACCCAUCUUUUUAUAUUUGUCUCUAUCGAUUCAUAUCCACGCUACUUCGUUCAUUUCAAGCAAUUGUGAUAUUUAAUGUUUUUUAAAUUAUAUAUUUUUGGUUGUCUUGUUCUACUGCAUCUAUUGCAGUGAUAAAGGAUACUCGCGGUUCUGAUUAGCCUUAAGUUUUAAGCGACAUAUUGGCAAUGUAAAAACGGACAAUUUGCAGUAAUAAAUAUAAAUCUCUGCAACACGAGGUCCUGAUUUAAUGAAUGACCACAAGAAUUUUGCAACGCCAUAACAACGAUAGUUAUCGUCCGACAAUUUUUCAGCCAACAAGUUACAAGGUUGCAAUAAAUUCAUUACCACAUGAACGAAGUAAGUUAAGACCAAACACCAGAUAAGCUAUCGUCGUUCGACAAACGACGAUUGCACCGUUUAUUUUUAACUUGAUACAGAUGUCCUUGACUUCCUUAUCCUUAUAAGAAUUUCAGAAAAAAGAUGAAAAAAAUAAAAUAAAAAAAUAAUAAAAAGGAAAACAAGAUUAAAGAGCUAUUGUCCAGAAUCGUACAACACGUGAUUAGAAUUCGCAAGAAUAUUCAUCGCGGGAUCGCCAAGGUCUUCGCUCUGUUCGCAUAUCAAUGACCCUAACUUCCUUCGGUGCUCGUGCUCGUCGUAACAACCGAUUUAAUUGAAUGGGUCAACCAUUUUCACAGCAUCCACUUACGUUUUCAUGCGAAUAGCUUCAAAUUCCUUGCAAAUGGAAUAUAUACUUGUCUCGCAAAAAGGAAACUAAUCUUAAGAUAAGAAAAGAAAUACUUAUCACAUCCUAUUAAAAGCGCGAGACUUAAAACGCUUCGUGGAUUAAAUAGCUGCAAUAGUAUGAAACUCGAUUCCAAAUAAUAUCGGUUAAUUAAAUUCAUAAAAGUUUCUAUUCGAUUCUAUGACGUGAUCCAAUAGAAAAUCCGCAUUUUAUAAUUACUUUCCGUAAAGAUGUUAGGCUCAGGCGCUUUGUUACGGUUUCGACGUAAUUAACGUUCUCACUCGAUGUAUCUUGCCGUGUUAUUUAACUUGAAACUUUCAUUCAAUCGCUAAAGAACUUUGUAUUCUUUCAUACGAUUGUAUUAAAUGCAAGUUAUUGUUUGCCCAUGUUAUUUAACUUAAAACUUUCAUUCAAUUUGGAGAACUUUGUACUUGUUCACAAGAUAGUACUAAAUAGAGCUUACAGAUAGUCUGUUUACAACGUGUUGAUUUAUUGCAAAAAUUGUUCAACGCGUUCCUUAUCAAUCCUUAUUUCUCAUAUCUAUUUCUUAUCGAAUAAACGGCAUUUUUAGAUUAUUCCACACACUUUCCCAAUAAAUAAAUAGUUCAAUAUAAAAUUGCGCUUCCAGUUAGCGUUAGGAAGGUGAAUUAAUGUUGUUUCGUCUCAAGGUGGAAAUAAAAUGAGUGAAACGAGGUCACGAAGACCCUAUCACAAUACGAUACUAAUUAAAGCGUUCUUUAAUUAAGACAUGGAGUUGUAACGUAUUCAAAAGUUGGCUUCAUCGAUGUGUUACGUCAAAUGAAACGAACCGAUCGCGCCCUUACAAAUGUAAAUUGCUUAACGCUCGAUUACACGCGUAUUCGUCCACGGUCUACGCAAUUCGAGGCCCUUGUCCCCGUUUGUGGCUGCACCUGUGACGAUUGUGCGCCAAGCGGAUAAAUCCCAGUUUAUCGUGCGUGAACCGGGCAUUACGCGCGCUUUCAUGCAAGUACUGUUCUUCGAUCAUCCAACAUUUUGUAUCCGGACCGAUUUAACAAACCUGCAAUUUCCCUUGACCGAUGACGCGUCCCGAUCGGCCAAAGACAUCGAUAUCGAUGAAUGUGCAAUUCUACUAAUUUUGGUUAUCUUAUCUUACAAAAUAGAUUAAUAUCUAUACUCUGAUUUGUGUAAUGUACUUUCUUGAUUAAUGUUUGUAGAAAAUUUCGAGACAUUUCUUUGUGUCCAAUCGUUAUAAAUAUUAUAAAUUUAUAUUGCGCGUUUGUUUGUUUUAGUAUGAUUUAGGAUGCUGUUGUUUUAAUAUGCAUACAUUUGUAAUGAAUUUGUUUCGUUUCUGCUGAUAAUUCAAUUUAUUGGUUCAUACAACUAGAAUUCAUGUAAUGUGAGGAACGAUGAUAACGAUUCAAAUGAUAACGAUGCAGGUACUCAAAUAAAAGAAAUUCACAUUUGAUUAAACGAAUGGAAUUAGCACGACUUUAGUUAAAGUUUCGUUUGAAUUAAAAUCUAAUUUCCUUUUUUUUUCAAUAAAUAAGAUUCUAUUCUACUUCCUGUUUAUUCCAACUUGUUACAUUAUUCAAUCAAAUCGUAUUUAAUAUGUUUUGCAACACAUUGAAUUUUCAGAACGUCCCAAUAACAGUUCGAGAAUUAUCAAACUCUAUUACCAAGAAUUUCAUUGACCGUUCUUUCUACUUAAAAUGAUUCACACAAAGAAACCAGAGGCUACGCCUAUGCGUGCUCAUAACGCGUACAAUGUCAUAAUUCGUAUCCAGACGAUGUAGCGGGUUAAAUUGUCGACCAGAUAAUUCGUCACAGUGUAUAAUAUUUAAAGUAACGCGAGUGCCACUUCCGGCCACAUGUAUUCUCAGCAUCGAUCAUCGAUCACGUCUAUUAGGUCGUGUACGGACGAUCUGUGUCGGAGGAAACCGACACGCCCACGCACACUGGCGCAACCGAACAGGUCUUGCCGAUCAUAUCCGCGGUAAUGACGUUUAAAAACCUGAUUUGAAGUGUAGAAUCAUACCAGCUCUAUGAUAUACCAACACUACGACAUACCAGCCUAUAUACGAUAGGAACGCUACAAGAGAAUUUCAGCCAAAGCCAACGAAACGUAGAACGACUACUAUCCAUCCUGAAAACGAUCUUCCGUGAAGCAAGUCAAAAUGUAUCGGUCGAUCAAUUACCAAUAUGCUAAACCAAUAAAAACAGAACGUAACACGAACGAAGCGCUAUGACGAUGUUUAUUUGUUUAUUAAUAAGUCUGCCCCCAGGAUGAGGACAAUCGAGGCAUGAUUAUAUAAACUCAAUAAAAGAGACGCCACGUGCUGGCGUACGGCUCGUACGUAAUAUCACUUUCACGGUACGAGCUAAAUCCGUUGCUGCCCGGUAAAUCAAUGAACCGAACUUACGAGUAUAUACUUUGGAUAAAUGUCCGUAACAUGUGGGACACACGUUGUUAGUUAUUUAGUUCUAUUAGACGAGAAAAAGAAGAAGAAAAAAGAAGUGCAUACACGGCAGUGCACUUCAUUGCUCAAUGACAAAAGCUUGUUAGUGAAGCUUCACCGAGCUCCUAUUCGUUGGCCUUUUAGGACGGCGAUACGUCAGCGGCAGAAAGCGAGCAACGUCACCGGAGGUACAUUGACAUUUUUCGGAGACUAUACAAGGUUAAUCUCUAAUCGACAAAAGAAUCGCCCUAAUUAACCUUUACAUGAAUCCUUAUAACUGGAUUAUGGAUAUUUGUAAAUUUAUGACAAAUUUAAAGAUGCCAAAAUAUAUACGUACAUACACAAUAUACAAAAAUAUCGGAAAUAUUCCAAGUUCACAAAAAUAUGGAUUUGUAUAAAUAUCUGUAGAUUGAUUAUAAGCGGUCCUCCUUUACCAAAGUAGAUGUUGGGAAUUGUUUAAUAGGAUGGAUUAAAAGAUGCAGAGGUUCUACCAACAGGUACUGAAUGGAGCUAGAAAUAAUUAAUAUGAUAUGUAUAAUGAACGUAAAUAUACAAAAGAUAAUUUAUUAGUAAUUGAACAGCUUUUCGAAAAGACAUGUUAUGUACAUAUUAUACAUAUAUGUAGAUAUCAAGUAUAUUUUCUACUCAAAUAGUUGAAUUAUUAAUAAGUAUUUGAUUUAUUCCAAGUCUCUUCUUUUUCUAUGAAGAAUUUUUCAGGAAUUAAGUUACAUAUUUUUCAAGACAUUCUCCAUACUCUAGGAUGAAAGAUAGUUUUACUAAAUCAUAUAUAAUACUGUGACUUGAUUACUUCAUUCAUAAUCGAUAAGUUUGCAGAGGUUAGUCAUGGUGGAACUAUAUACAGGAUAUUAGUCUGUGACAGGCUUCCUCAACAGAGGGUCGAAAGGUCUCCGCAGGAAAAUAAAAUCAUCGACCCCCAACGCUGAUGAUUUUAAAUAUCGCUACUGUAAAUAACACCGACCAGGUAGAUAUGGUCAGUAAUGUUCUCUUGGUAAAAAAAAAACAAUGUUUUUCUCUCACCGGUGCUCAACUUUGGAACUUCAACGAGUUACACAUUCAAUAUAUCGUAUUCUUGUGUUGGAAUCUGUUGGACCAUUGAACUGUCUAUUAAAAGUGUCAUGGUAAUCGAAUACAUGGAAAACAAGCAGAUUUAUAAUUUUACAUUUAAAAUAAAAAUGUGUAUUUAACAUUU
rnacentral:lncRNA from 1 species